GGUCGGGACCCGCGCGACGGCCGUCUGUGAACCCGGUCAGGCCCGGAAGGGAGCAGCCGUAGCAGAUUGCCGGGCGCCGCGGAUCUCCCGGCCGAU
rnacentral:SRP_RNA from 1 species